rnacentral:misc_RNA from 1 species
UUUCCGUAGGUGAACCUGCGGAAGGAUCAUUAUUGUAUAACCGAGGUGCGAGGGCUGUCGCUGACCCGAAAGGUCGUGCACGCCCGAGUGCCCUCACCCACAUCCAUCUCACCCCUAUGUGCACCACCGCGUGGGUCCCCCUUUGGCUUGUUCGGAGGGGGGCUUACGUUUUCACACAAACUUUGUAUACAGUGUAGAAUGUAUUUUUUGUUUUCGCGAUCACGCAAUCAAUACAACUUUCAACAACGGAUCUCUUGGCUCUC